rnacentral:rRNA from 1 species
UUAAGCGACUAAGCGUACACGGUGGAUGCCCUGGCAGUCAGAGGCGAUGAAGGACGUGCUAAUCUGCGAUAAGCGUCGGUAAGGUGAUAUGAACCGUUAUAACCGGCGAUUUCCGAAUGGGGAAACCCAGUGUGUUUCGACACACUAUCAUUAACUGAAUCCAUAGGUUAAUGAGGCGAACCGGGGGAACUGAAACAUCUAAGUACCCCGAGGAAAAGAAAUCAACCGAGAUUCCCCCAGUAGCGGCGAGCGAACGGGGAGCAGCCCAGAGCCUGAAUCAGUGUGUGUGUUAGUGGAAGCGUCUGGAAAGGCGCGCGAUACAGGGUGACAGCCCCGUACACAAAAAUGCACAUGCUGUGAGCUCGAUGAGUAGGGCGGGACACGUGGUAUCCUGUCUGAAUAUGGGGGGACCAUCCUCCAAGGCUAAAUACUCCUGACUGACCGAUAGUGAACCAGUACCGUGAGGGAAAGGCGAAAAGAACCCCGGCGAGGGGAGUGAAAAAGAACCUGAAACCGUGUACGUACAAGCAGUGGGAGCACGCUUCGGCGUGUGACUGCGUACCUUUUGUAUAAUGGGUCAGCGACUUAUAUUCUGUAGCAAGGUUAACCGAAUAGGGGAGCCGAAGGGAAACCGAGUCUUAACUGGGCGUUAAGUUGCAGGGUAUAGACCCGAAACCCGGUGAUCUAGCCAUGGGCAGGUUGAAGGUUGGGUAACACUAACUGGAGGACCGAACCGACUAAUGUUGAAAAAUUAGCGGAUGACUUGUGGCUGGGGGUGAAAGGCCAAUCAAACCGGGAGAUAGCUGGUUCUCCCCGAAAGCUAUUUAGGUAGCGCCUCGUGAAUUCAUCUCCGGGGGUAGAGCACUGUUUCGGCAAGGGGGUCAUCCCGACUUACCAACCCGAUGCAAACUGCGAAUACCGGAGAAUGUUAUCACGGGAGACACACGGCGGGUGCUAACGUCCGUCGUGAAGAGGGAAACAACCCAGACCGCCAGCUAAGGUCCCAAAGUCAUGGUUAAGUGGGAAACGAUGUGGGAAGGCCCAGACAGCCAGGAUGUUGGCUUAGAAGCAGCCAUCAUUUAAAGAAAGCGUAAUAGCUCACUGGUCGAGUCGGCCUGCGCGGAAGAUGUAACGGGGCUAAACCAUGCACCGAAGCUGCGGCAGCGACGCUUAUGCGUUGUUGGGUAGGGGAGCGUUCUGUAAGCCUGUGAAGGUGUGCUGUGAGGCAUGCUGGAGGUAUCAGAAGUGCGAAUGCUGACAUAAGUAACGAUAAAGCGGGUGAAAAGCCCGCUCGCCGGAAGACCAAGGGUUCCUGUCCAACGUUAAUCGGGGCAGGGUGAGUCGACCCCUAAGGCGAGGCCGAAAGGCGUAGUCGAUGGGAAACAGGUUAAUAUUCCUGUACUUGGUGUUACUGCGAAGGGGGGACGGAGAAGGCUAUGUUGGCCGGGCGACGGUUGUCCCGGUUUAAGCGUGUAGGCUGGUUUUCCAGGCAAAUCCGGAAAAUCAAGGCUGAGGCGUGAUGACGAGGCACUACGGUGCUGAAGCAACAAAUGCCCUGCUUCCAGGAAAAGCCUCUAAGCAUCAGGUAACAUCAAAUCGUACCCCAAACCGACACAGGUGGUCAGGUAGAGAAUACCAAGGCGCUUGAGAGAACUCGGGUGAAGGAACUAGGCAAAAUGGUGCCGUAACUUCGGGAGAAGGCACGCUGAUAUGUAGGUGAAGUCCCUCGCGGAUGGAGCUGAAAUCAGUCGAAGAUACCAGCUGGCUGCAACUGUUUAUUAAAAACACAGCACUGUGCAAACACGAAAGUGGACGUAUACGGUGUGACGCCUGCCCGGUGCCGGAAGGUUAAUUGAUGGGGUUAGCGGUAACGCGAAGCUCUUGAUCGAAGCCCCGGUAAACGGCGGCCGUAACUAUAACGGUCCUAAGGUAGCGAAAUUCCUUGUCGGGUAAGUUCCGACCUGCACGAAUGGCGUAAUGAUGGCCAGGCUGUCUCCACCCGAGACUCAGUGAAAUUGAACUCGCUGUGAAGAUGCAGUGUACCCGCGGCAAGACGGAAAGACCCCGUGAACCUUUACUAUAGCUUGACACUGAACAUUGAGCCUUGAUGUGUAGGAUAGGUGGGAGGCUUUGAAGUGUGGACGCCAGUCUGCAUGGAGCCGACCUUGAAAUACCACCCUUUAAUGUUUGAUGUUCUAACGUUGACCCGUAAUCCGGGUUGCGGACAGUGUCUGGUGGGUAGUUUGACUGGGGCGGUCUCCUCCUAAAGAGUAACGGAGGAGCACGAAGGUUGGCUAAUCCUGGUCGGACAUCAGGAGGUUAGUGCAAUGGCAUAAGCCAGCUUGACUGCGAGCGUGACGGCGCGAGCAGGUGCGAAAGCAGGUCAUAGUGAUCCGGUGGUUCUGAAUGGAAGGGCCAUCGCUCAACGGAUAAAAGGUACUCCGGGGAUAACAGGCUGAUACCGCCCAAGAGUUCAUAUCGACGGCGGUGUUUGGCACCUCGAUGUCGGCUCAUCACAUCCUGGGGCUGAAGUAGGUCCCAAGGGUAUGGCUGUUCGCCAUUUAAAGUGGUACGCGAGCUGGGUUUAGAACGUCGUGAGACAGUUCGGUCCCUAUCUGUCGUGGGCGCUGGAGAACUGAGGGGGGCUGCUCCUAGUACGAGAGGACCGGAGUGGACGCAUCACUGGUGUUCGGGUUGUCAUGCCAAUGGCACUGCCCGGUAGCUAAAUGCGGAAGAGAUAAGUGCUGAAAGCAUCUAAGCACGAAACUUGCCCCGAGAUGAGUUCUCCCUGACUCCUUGAGAGUCCUGAAGGAACGUUGAAGACGACGACGUUGAUAGGCCGGGUGUGUAAGCGCAGCGAUGCGUUGAGCUAACCGGUACUAAUGAACCGUGAGGCUUAACCUU